GGAGGCUUUGCUUAAGAAGAACUGUUAAAUCUCAGAAAUUCAAGUUGUUUUCAGCGAUGAAAAAUUUGGAAUGUCAGUGCCAAGACACCGUUUGUUCUUUUAGUCAGAGAGGGCAAGACUGAUGCCGCCUGAGAAGGUACCAACACAAGUAGCCAAAUAAACCAGGUAUGAAUACUAUAAAACAGCAAGCCCAAAUAUACUUAUGAAAUAUGCAUUAGAGGACAUGAUUUAGUUAUAUAAGAAAGGCAGUGUUGGCCGGAUGAUUUUUAGCUAUUAA
rnacentral:misc_RNA from 1 species